rnacentral:rRNA from 1 species
AGUAGGGAAUCUUCCGCAAUGGGCGAAAGCCUGACGGAGCAACGCCGCGUGAGUGAUGAAGGUCUUCGGAUCGUAAAACUCUGUUAUUAGGGAAGAACAUAUGUGUAAGUAACUGUGCACAUCUUGACGGUACCUAAUCAGAAAGCCACGGCUAACUACGUGCCAGCAGCCGCGGUAAUACGUAGGUGGCAAGCGUUAUCCGGAAUUAUUGGGCGUAAAGCGCGCGUAGGCGGUUUUUUAAGUCUGAUGUGAAAGCCCACGGCUCAACCGUGGAGGGUCAUUGGAAACUGGAAAACUUGAGUGCAGAAGAGGAAAGUGGAAUUCCAUGUGUAGCGGUGAAAUGCGCAGAG